CGCGUAGGCGGCUUGGCAAGCUUGGUGUUAAAAACAACGGCUUAACCGUUGGUAAGCAUUGGGAACUGCCUGGCUAGAGGUCUGGAGGGGGAGCUGGAAUUCCUGGUGUAGGGGUGAAAUCUGUAGAUAUCAGGAAGAACACCGGUGGCGAAGGCGAGCUCCUGGCCGGAAACUGACGCUGAGGCGCGAAAGCGUGGGGAGCGAACA
rnacentral:rRNA from 1 species